UCAGCAUUACGAAAUACGAUACUUCGCGAGGUUGUUUUCAGAGCCUAAUGAUGCGUUACUCCGUUGAAUUCACCUAUUGCCCUCUGUGGUAUACAGUAUUGUGAACGACAUGGUCACUCUUUGCCUGUCUUCCAACUACGGUGCAUAACCGUUGCUGUUCAAGGAAAGCGCGUACGCCCGACCGCCCGGUCACAAUUCUGUGGAAAGUUAACAGCAAGCAAACCCCAAGAUGCAGCGCCGAAGUGCAAAUGCUGAUUCAGGUAGAAGAAACGUCCACCAACAGCAAGGUCAGUCCGCAUCAGGAGUACAAGCAGCGGUGUCACCAUCUGCCCACAAAAAUACCAACAGGGCACACGAUACCAGCGGCCUUACAAACCGGCUGAAACAUCUCGACGAAUGCAUCGAGCAGGUGAAAAGUCUCAUGAAAAACCUGGAGAAAUCUGAUGAUCCUAAUGCUCAACAGCACAUGUUGAAGUUGUACCAAAUGCUGCACCAACUGAAUGCUGAACAAGCAAGCGGUGACAUCACGAAUGUUUUGUUUAAUGCUUUGACGGAAAGAGAGCAACUCCAGGCGCGUGCAGAAGCACCUGAGGACUCCGAAGAGGUGCUCACCACGGAUUGUUUUGACGGAGCACCGAUGGAUCUUCGACAGCUUACGUUUAUGCAGGAAGACAAAGAAAACUUGAUGAGGCAGAAUGCAAUUAUGAGGAAGAUUUUGGAGUCAAAAGCAAAGCUGAUGGAGCUGGAAGAACAGCGCGCGGUCGUCUCUACAAUGCAGAAGAAGGCGGAAAACAAGCUGGCUGAAGCGCGUGCUUUUCAGGAGCAUCUUGCAACUUCAAGCCCCGAUAUGAGGGAAUGGGUGUCCCAGAUCCAGCAGGCGUCCGCAGCAGGAACCUUACUGCCUCCUCCGUUGGAAUCCCGAAGCUCUAGGAAGUCUGGGGCACACAAGUCCCACCAUUCGCCUCAAAGUGGUGGAGCAUCUGGUGGAGCCAAUGAGGAUGGCAUUGACUGGAAGUUGGAUGGACAGAGGUCUGAAGUGGAGCAGCUGCAGUUACGGCUCCAGCAAUUGCAAGACUUCAGGCUCCCGCAUGGGAUGUUGGACCAACUUUCAGUUGAUCCAGGAGUUGACAGCAAUCUGGGAGCAGACCUUUCGGACUUCAGUCGGGAACGUCAGAAGCUUGAACGAAAGAUCAGGGACCUCCAGGAGCAGAAGAUGCAAGUUGACAACCUGCUUGCGGAACUUACAGUUCUACAAGCUGUACCACAAUCUCCCCGAAAUGCUUGUGGAGACUUAGUACAAUCAGAUGCAGUGUCUUCUGGUGAAGGCGCCGUGCGUGGGCUAUCCGUCAACAAGAAUGCUCUAAAACAUACCUCGGAUGAGAAAAGGAGGCUUCAAGACAUGAAGAAGUCUCUGCAGCAACUAAGCCGCUCUGUGCAGAAAUUCGACCAAAAUGCUUCCUUAGAUUCAGCGUUUUCCAGCACAGAUGUGUCAUCUGUCUCCCAGCCAGUGGCCCCGCAACCGCAACAGCUCCCGCUGAAGCCGAAGCGAUCAAAGUCUCCGGCGUUGCAGUCGCUUUCUUGCAAAAAGGACAACCUGUGGGGUGACUUCCCUGCACGUCGACAUUAUGAAGCCGAAGGCAGAGCCAACGAGGAUGCGGAUGCGGCGCUUGCGCAGCAAGGUGUCGCUUCUGCUGCAGUAAUGCCAGCCCCUCUGCAGGCACCCGUGAUGGCCAGCAAUGGACCCAUGCAAGACGGUAGUGAGGCCCUUGCUGAAAAAGUGAGGCAGCUGCAGGCUACCAGGAACCGGUUGCAGUACCUGCAGGAUUUAGUGUCUUCACUACAAGAUGAAGAAGUUGUGCCAGAUCUAAUGCCUCAGACUCGAGGGUCCUCUGAAGAACGGAAUAGUGACAACGAGCCCACGCACCAGGGAAGAGGAGUGCUGGCGAGGGCAAAUACAGACGGGAAGAGGACGAGCGAUGUACUUCAAAAGCAGCGAGAGCUUCUGCAGCUGCAAGAACAUCAGAGAAGUCAGAUGUUGCUACGGCAACAGCUUGCAGCCAGUAAUCGUCCGACAACGACCAAAAAUCAGUUGAGAGCUGGCACGAGUGACCAAAACUGCGAAGACGGGGGCGCUACUUCCGGGCCAAUCGCUGGUCACAGGGACGACAAAGCGCGGCGUUCAAAGAAGGACAACCUGAAUACCCUCACAAUGCCAAAAAACCUGUACGAUUCAAGCAAGCCCAGCAAUCGUACACAGGAUCACUCUAACUUGGAGAUCACUGGCAACAGGGAGCGAGCAAUGCUCGAAGAGCUCCUAAAACAGGAGCACAGAAAACAUCUGUUCAGUUAUUCACACAAUGAAGAUAUUCGCAGCGUCAGUUCGUGCUCAGCCGGAUCGGAGGCUUUUGAAGGUGCAGGUAGUGUGCUGGCUGGUGGAGACACAACCAUUGCUGCCACCUGGGGCGGGUCGAGCACCCAGGAAAACCUGGAGGACGAUGACGAAGCUCCAGAGAACGGUGCUCAGGAAUCUGAAGGGAGUCACAGCGAUCAUGAAACGAAUGCUGCUCCGCCCGAAACAGUGGCCCAGUCGACGAGGGAUCGCAGCAUAUCUGAGUCAAAUCUAUCUUACGGGCGUGCAGAUAACACCCGACUUGCUCGUAGUCUGUCGAAGGGUAGCACCACUGGGCAGGUGCCACAGUGCAUCAACUCUGCUACCAGCUGGCCUAUUAAGCAGACCACAGCAAGUGCCCAACCUGCUAGUCUUCAAAAUGGAAUGCUCCCAGAAGAGGAAGGUCAGUACUGUGCUGAGAAACUUGGACUUACCAUGCCUGCAGCUCCAAGUCUUCCCAACUGGCCACCUUUUCCACAACACCUACAGCAGCAGUUUGAGCAUACGAGUGCACUUUGCAAUUCAAUUCUGCAAGACCAACAGGCACUAACAAGUGCUCUCCUAGCAACGUCGACCGUCAGUCUUCCAGGAGGACCAGUGCAACGCCAGCAAGGAUUUGAUAUUCAGCAGUACUCCAUCCAGCAACAGCAACAGUUGCUGCUGAGCAUUAUCCACUGCUAUCACAUCCUCAACCUUCAGCAACUGGAGAUUAGUCAGCUCCAGCAGAAUCUACAACACUUGAGCACGCGCGCGGCAGAAGACUCGCCGAUGCGUGGUCCACCGGCGGGUCACUUUCAGUCUCCGGACUCCAUGAAUCCUUUACUUCUUGCUACGUGGUCCCCAAGUCAAGUCUCGUUCGGUGGAGUGAAUAUCGCGCAACAGGGGCCCGUUGUCUCACCAAGACAGCAGUCAAUGCCAGACCAACGGUGUGUUCAGGGCACUCUCAACAACCAGGUUGUUCCUGGCACAAGGGCCAACAACUUCUGGGACAAUUUCCGAAGUUAUUCACGACAAAACCUCCUGUCAGGGUCAACACCCGCUGCAGGGCAGAUGAAGAGCAACGAGUUGCCUGUAAACUUCCAUGUGCAACAGCUGGCAUCUGGCGGCAUUCCUGAAGCAGCGUUUGGACCCAUGGAGCCUCGACCACGAGCUCGUGCAUCUCGGGGUCCCGGGUAUGCAGAUGAUAUCUCAGCAAUGGAUAGCACCAGGCAUCCCAUGAGGCCUGUUCCCAAUGCCAAUGUGCAAGAACUGAGGGCAACAAACAAAAAAUCGAACACUAUAAAGCAAGAAUCUGGAAUGUCUGCAAGUGGGUCCGGUUCUCUAGAUGACACGCCAGGAAGCAGGAGACGUCAGCCCUCCCACUCUGCUUGUGAUGCACUCAAGAGUUCAAUCCAAGCAGAGUUGUCAAGAUUGUUGACCAACAACGAGGACACUGGGAGUCUAGCUGUCCUGCUGCGACAAUUGCAGACCAUGGACGCAGUGACGUUGCAGAUGACGUCUGCGUCCUCUCAAGGGUCUGGUGGAGCACGCCGAAAAGUUCCUUCAUUAGUUAAGAGCAAUGUUCCAAAAGAAAACAGCCUACCAGGAAGUUGUAGACUCCCGGACCCUACACAAGUUCCUAUUCAAAGAGUUGGAUCUGAAUCAUCCCCAGACCUGCAUGCAAAUGCUGAACUCUAUGAUCCGCGGCUUCGUACAGAGGAUGCGCUGUCAGAUUCACUAUUGGACAAAAGUCCGUCAAAACUUCAAGACGGAGGCAGUGUUCGUAAGAAGGUGAAAGGUCGAUAUCCUGCAAGCUGUGCUGCAUCGUGGCCAACGUCCACAAGGUCCUCCACAGAGAGAAAUGAUCAAACAGAAAACCUGAUACCUGAACAUGACAAGAAUAGCACUGCAGAGGAGGCUAGUGCUGAAAUGGAUCUCUGCAUGCUUCGGCUCACGAGCUUCCUGCGUAAAAACACUGGGGAGGAGUGGAACGUCGAUACACUGAGUCAUCUCGUGGAUAGCCUGGGUCUUCUCCGAGAGCACCAGCAAUCAGUAAUAGGAGCCCUCAGGUCAUGUCUGGUGCUGGAGCACAAGCUGGUGUCCGACGUCGAACAGACAAUCCUGACAAAAGUUCGGGAGGCCUUUGUGCGUGACGGGUGCCCUCCUCUCGCUGCAUGGGGGGACGCUAGGCCAGAAAGAGAGGGGGAAACUGCGGCCCUCGUGCCUGCUUUGGAACCAACAGCUGUAGCCAAAGUGGAGAAUGAUGUUCCGGUGCCUCUACACCGUACAAAGAGAGACCUUCAAGCAACUGAAUCUUGUGACACAGUAACAGCAGACGUUGGUUCCUUUUAUAACUUCCACCUUUUCCAGCCUGCUGAUGUUCCCAGGUCUGCAGGAGCCCACGUUGACCCAGUGGUGCUAAAUGAACCUGUUCCUAAUCUUCCAGAACACGCUGAGAGCGUUCGUCAGGAAGAUGAGCAAGAAGACGAAGAAGACAGGGAAACAGGCCCUGAGACCGAGCCAGAAGAUACGCAGGACCUUGCAGAAGCCGACCAGUCACCGGCGGCGGGCCAAGAUGCAGCCGACCGGAACCCCGAGGGUGACGUGCAGCAGGACGAAGCGCAGGGAGCAGUCGCAGGGGCUGUCGGAGGACUGAACACUGGGGAAGAUGACCCAAGCUUGGACAAUGUUCCGACUAAGUUAAUGGCAUCUCAACUUGCACAAAGUAAGGGAGGAGUUAGCGCAUGCCCAUGAAGAGCCGGUUGUCAACGGAGCGCUUGCGGAUGAUGGGAGCUUUCAUGAAGGGCCGCCUCCUCUGCCAAGUGCAGCGCCUCCAUCAGGACGCGAAGGCUAAUCCGUCUGUACACAUGAAAAGGCUACAAAUCACCCUCUUGAGUGCUCCGGAUGUGCGGUCAAAGAGAGGAGUUUUACAUUUUAAAUUUAAUGGGUUUGUUGCGUGGUUCUGAAAGACAAACAAAAAUAAAAUAGUUGUUUGCUUUAA